AUUUUUGAGAGUUUGAUCCUGGCUCAGGAUGAACGCUGGCGGCGUGUUUAAGGCAUGCAAGUCGAACGAAGUACUCUCGCAAGAGAAUUACUAGUGGCAAACGGGUGAGUAACACAUUGGUAACCUACCUUGAAGUUGAGGAUAGCUCGCCGAAAGGCGAAUUAAUACUCGAUGGUAACGCGGGGACAUAAGUCAUUCGCGUUUAAAGAUUUAUCGCUUCAAGAGGGGCCUAUGUCUGAUUAGCUAGUUGGUGGGGUAAUGGCCUACCAAGGCUUCGAUCAGUAGCAGGCGUGAGAGCGUGACCUGCCUCACUGGGACUGAGACACUGCCCAGACACCUACGGGUGGCUGCAGUCAAGAAUCUUCCUCAAUGGGGGAAACCCUGAAGGAGCGACGCCGCGUGCAGGAUGAAGGUUUUCGGAUCGUAAACUGCUUUUAUAGGGGACGAAUUCGUGACGGUACCCUAAGAAUAAGAGGUUGCUAACUCUGUGCCAGCAGCAGCGGUAAUACAGAGACCUCAAGCGUUAUCCGGAUUUAUUGGGCGUAAAGCGUCCGCAGGUUGUUUGGCGGGUCAGGGGUUAAAACUCAGCGCUUAACGUUGAGAUUGCCUUUGAAACUACCAAACUAGAGUGUGGGAGAGGUAAGCGGAAUUGCCGGUGUAGUCGUAAUAAGCGUUGAUAUCGGCAAGAACACCAAAUGCGAAGGCAGCUUACUGGAACACAACUGACACUCAUGGACGAAAGCGUGGGGAGCAAACAGGAUUAGAUACCCUGGUAGUCCACGCCCUAAACUAUGCGAACUAGGUAUAGGCAGUAUCGACCCUGUCUGUGCCGUUUAAAAAAGCUAACGCGUUAAGUUCGCCGCCUGGGGAGUACGGCCGCAAGGUUGAAACUCAAAGGAAUAGACGGGGACCCGCACAAGCGGUGGGUCAUGUGGUUUAAUUCGAUGGUAAACGGGGAACCUUACCUGGGCUCAACUACUAGCUGCAAGCCACCAGAAAUGGAGGCCGCCUUCGAGGGUGCUAGAUAGGUGCUGCAUGGUUGUCGUCAGCUCGUGCCGUGAGGUGUACCAUUAAGUUGGGAAACGAGCGCAACCCUCAUUGCGUGUUAAAUUGUACACGCGAGACCGCCCGGCCCCCUGCGCAUAAGCGCAGGGAAAUCCUAAAUCCGAAACCCUAAACUCUAAACACAAUUGGUUCGCCAAUCAUGUUUAGGAUUUAGAUAUUAGGGCUUAGAGUUUCUCUGUUCGCUUGCGAACAAGGGGCCGGGAGGAAGGAGAGGACGACGUCAAAUCAGCAUGGCUCUUACGUCCAGGGCUACACACAUGAUACAAUGGUCAGUACAAUGGGUCGCGAAGCCGCGAGGCGGAGCUAAUCCCAUAAAACUAACCCCAGUUCAGAUUGCAGGCUGCAACUCGCCUGCAUGAAGUCGGAAUCGCUAGUAAACGCGUAUCAGCCACGGCGCGUUGAAUACGUUCUCGGGUCUUGUACUCACCGCCCGUCACACCACGAAAGUCGGUAAUAUACGAAGUUCGUUUACGGAUUACUGUAGGACCGAUGAUCAGGGUGAAGUCGUAAAAAAGUUGCGACUUUUAGCGAGUAAUCGCUAGAAUAAAAGUUGGCUAU
rnacentral:rRNA from 1 species